UACAGAGACUGCAAGCGUUAUUCGGAUUCACUGGGCGUAAAGGGUGCGCAGGCGGUCGGGUGUGUCAGAUGUGAAAUCCCGAGGCUCAACCUCGGAACUGCGUCUGAAACUACUCGACUAGAGUACUGGAGAGGGUAACGGAAUUCACGGUGUAGCAGUGAAAUGCGUAGAUAUCGUGAGGAACACCAGAGGCGAAGGCGGUUACCUGGACAGUUACUGACGCUGAGGAGCGAAAGCGUGGGGAGCGAACAGG
rnacentral:rRNA from 1 species